rnacentral:rRNA from 1 species
AACGAACGCUGGCGGCGCGCCUAAUACAUGCAAGUCGAGCGAGAAGACGUAGCAAUACGUUUGUAAAGCGGCGAACGGGUGAGGAAUACAUGGGUAACCUACCCUCGAGUGGGGAAUAACUAGCCGAAAGGUUAGCUAAUACCGCGUACGCUUCUUGGACUUCGGUUCAGGGAGGAAAGCGAUACCGUGGGUAUCGCGCUCUUGGAUGGGCUCAUGUCCUAUCAGCUUGUUGGGAGGUAACGGCUCACCAAGGCUUCGACGGGUAGCUGGUCUGAGAGGACGAUCAGCCACACUGGCACUGCGACACGGGCCAGACUCCUACGGGAGGCAGCAGUAAGGAUAUUGCGCAAUGGGCGAAAGCCUGACGCAGCGACGCCGCGUGGGGGAUGAAGGUCUUCGGAUUGUAAA